UCAUGGUGCAUGCCCAAAUGCCAUCCCAGACCUCUGAGCCAUGGUGACACAGAUGGAGUCUGGCUCUGUUGCCCAGGCUGGAGUGCAGUAGCAUGAUCUCAGCUCACUGCAACCUCAGGCCUUCUGCGUUCAAGUGAUUCUCCUGCCUUCGCCUCCCAAUUAGCUGGGAUUAUAGGCGCCCACCACCACACCCAGCUAAUUUUUUGUACUUUUAGUAGAGAUGGGGUUUCACUGUGUUAGCCAGGAUGGUCUCAAACUUCUGACCUUGUGAUCCAUCCACUUCAACCUCCCAAAGUGUUAGAAUUACAGGUGUGAGCCACCGUGCCUGGCCAAAAGUGUUUAAUUAAUAUUUAAAUUUUUUGGUUCAUAGUAGAUGUAUAUAUUUAGGUGAUACAUGAGAUGUUAUAAUUCAGGAAUG
rnacentral:lncRNA from 1 species